rnacentral:pre_miRNA from 1 species
GUGUUACUCCCUCCGUCCGAAAAUACUUGUCAUCAAAAUGGAUAAAAAGAAAUGUAUCUAAAACUAAAAUACGUCUAGAUACAUCCUCUUUUAUCCAUUUUGAUGACAAGUAUUUCCGGACGGAGGAAGUAUAUU